GGUCCCUUCGCUCAGUUGGUCAGAGCAGCGGACUCAUAAUCCGUGGGUCACAGGUUCAAGCCCUGUAGGGACCA
rnacentral:tRNA from 1 species